UUGGGAGUCAGAAGCCACUGCAACUCCAUGUCAGGGCACUUACAGCUCUAAGAUUGCUGAGGUCAGGAAGUGGCGAGCCGGGUUCACAUACCACACACAUAACUCACACCCUCUAUACUACACAUACCCCACACACAAACACACAUCACACACACAACCACACACAAUACAUACACCCCACACACACACAUCACACACACAGCCACACAUAUCACACACAACCACACACAUCACAUACACACAACCACACAUAUCACACAACCACACACACUACACACCACCCAUACAACCACACACAUCGCAUACACACAACCACACAGACCACACACAACCACACACAUCAUACAACCACACACACAACCACACAACCACACACGACAUGCACACCACACAUAUACCACACAAACCACACAGAACCAUACACAUCUUAUUCAUCACACAUCAAUCACACACUACACACAACCACACACACUACACACACCCUACACACAAAUCCAAAACCACACACAUCAUAAAACCACACAUACCACACACCACACAACCACACACAUCACAUACAUACAACACACAUAUACCACACACACCACAUACAACCACACACAUCACAUAAUCGCAUACAAUAACACACUGCACACAACCAUACACAAUACACACACUCCACAUACCUCACACACAAAUUCACAACCACAUACGUCACACACACAACCACACACACCACAACCACACACAUCACAUUCAUCAUACA
rnacentral:lncRNA from 10 species